rnacentral:sRNA from 2 species
ACCUACCGCUGUCAAUCUACCUACUGCUGCCAACCUAUCUAUCACUGCUAAUCUAUCGCUGCUAAUCUAUUGCUGCUAAUCUAUCACUGCUAAUCUAUCGCUGCUAAUCUAUCGCUGCUAAUCUAUCGCCGCCAACCUAUCUACCGCUGCCAACCUACCUACCGCUGCCAACCUAUCUAUCACUGCUAAUCUAUCGCUGCUAAUCUAUCGCUGCUAAUCUAUCGCUGCUAAUCUAUCGCUGCUAAUCUAUCGCUGCUAAUCUAUCGCUGCUAAUCUAUCGCUGCUAAUCUAUCGCUGCUAAUCUAUCGCCGCCAACCUAUCUACCGCUGCCAACCUACCUACUGCUGCCAACCUAUCUAUCACUGCCAACCUAUAUAGGGUAAAUCAUGGUCCCAUUUGGUCCCAUUUUGUAAAAUGGGAUCAAAUGGGAUCAGAAUCACUAAUUUAUUAGUAAAACAUAAUCUGAGACUAGAUUUAUAAUAUAAACAGUGUAAAGUAACUAAUUUACUAAAUACUAUAUGAGAUCAGAAUUAAGAUAUCUAAUAAUGAAACUGAGGAAAAAUUUGAUUUCAGUCUUAUAUAUAGUCACAUAGUCAGUCUAAUAUCAUCUAUACAGUUUAUACAAUUCAUUUCAAUAACACUAUCAACAAACUUGACACUAUUCUGAUAAUAGUUUAUAAAUCAAUUAAAAAAAAAAGAAGAAAGAAAA